rnacentral:rRNA from 1 species
GGGUGCAGAGGCGCGAAAACUUUGCAUAUACGAAAGUGUGACAGGGUCAUCCCGAGUGCCGACCGCUGAGGUUGGCUUUUACCCAGUCUAGAAAGCUGGGGGAAUAAGGAGAGGGCAAGUCUGGUGUCAGCCGCCGCGGUAAUACCAGCUCUCCGAGUGGUGUGGACGCUUAUUGGGCCUAAAGCAUCCGUAGCUGGCUGAUCAAGUCCCCUGUUAAACCCACCGAUUUAAUCGUUGGCUUGCGGGGGAUACUGCUCGGCUAGGGGACGAGAGAGGCAGACGGUAUUCCCGGGGUAGGGGUGAAAUCCUAUAAUCCCGAGAAGACCACCAGUGGCGAAGGCUGUCUGCUAGAACGCGCCCGACGGUGAGGGAUGAAAGCUGGGGGAGCGAACCGGAUUAGAUACCCGGGUAGUCCCAGCUGUAAACGAUGCAGACUAGGUGUUUGGACGGCCACGUGCCGUUCUAGUGCCGCAGGGAAGCUGUUAAGUCUGCCGCCUGGGGAGUACGAUCGCAAGAUUGAAACUUAAAGGAAUUGGCGGGGGAGCAC